rnacentral:rRNA from 1 species
CGUAGGUGGCAAGCGUUGUCCGGAUUUAUUGGGUUUAAAGGGUGCGUAGGCGGCCCUAUAAGUCAGUGCUGAAAUAUCCCGGCUUAACCGGGAGGGUGGCAUUGAUACUGUAGGGCUUGAGUGUAGUCGAGGUAGGCGGAAUUGACGGUGUAGCGGUGGAAUGCUUAGAUAUCGUCAAGAACACCGAUAGUGAAGACAGCUUACUAGGCUACAACUGACGCUGAGGCACGAAAGUGUGGGGGAUCAAACAGGAUUAGAUACCCUGGUAGUCCACACUGUAAACGUUGAUUACUCGCUGUUGGCGAUACACAGUCAGCGGCUUAGCGAAAGCGAUAAGUAAUCCACCUGGGGAGUACGCCGGCAACGGUG